rnacentral:rRNA from 1 species
UACGAAGGGGGCUAGCGUUGCUCGGAAUCACUGGGCGUAAAGGGUGCGUAGGCGGGUCUUUAAGUCAGGGGUGAAAUCCUGGAGCUCAACUCCAGAACUGCCUUUGAUACUGAAGAUCUUGAGUCCGGGAGAGGUGAGUGGAACUGCGAGUGUAGAGGUGAAAUUCGUAGAUAUUCGCAAGAACACCAGUGGCGAAGGCGGCUCACUGGCCCGAUACUGACGCUGAGGCACGAAAGCGUGGGGGAGCAAACAGG